rnacentral:rRNA from 1 species
AUACGGGGGGAGCAAGCGUUGUCCGGAAUCAUUGGGCGUAAAGGGCAUGUAGGUUGUAAUUUAAGUCAGUUUUUAAAUGUCACGGCUUAACCGUGGACUGGAAUUGAAACUGGAUUACUUGAGUAUGAGAGGGGACAGAGGAAUACCUAGUGUAGCGGUGGAAUGCGUAGAUAUUAGGUAGAACACCCGAGGCGAAGGCGUCUGUCUGGCUCAUAACUGACACUGAAAUGCGAAAGCAUGGGUAGCGAACAGGAUUAGAAACCCUAGUAGUCC